UUUCCCAUCUAAUCUUAGCCUCUCGUCCGAUUCCGUCCUCUCUCGGUUUCUCCUUCCUCGCCCCUCGGGUUGACUCCUCCUCCCUCGACCCCAUGGGAGCGAAAGUGCACAGAAGCGAACUGUCGUCCUCGAGUGGAAACGUCCGUGCAUAAUGAAUCCCUAGCCGUCUCCCAUUCCCCAUCCCUUUCUCUCCCCAACCAUAGAAAACCCCAUGCGGGGACGGACACAGCAGAACGCAGCUUCAUCUAGGGUUUGCGGCCACCGGCGGGGUAGAACCGGCGGCGAUGGCGCGGCAAGAUCGCAAGGUGAUCGAUAUAGAGGAUGGGCGGAGCCGCAGUUCAGCUCAGAGUACUCGUGAUUCUCUACAGGGCCUUAAAACAUCGACGUUUCCUAUCUGCAGCGAUCUGAAUGACUCCCAGCCCACGAAGCAGCGUGGUUGCCAAGCAUGACAUGACUGAAUGCCCGAUGGUCAUGAUACGAUCCGGUAGAUUACUGGAACGUCUAGGAACUGCUCGAUAUGACAGCUUACACAAGAAGGUACAUAAUGAAUUUUUGUAGGAUAAACAUUCUUGAUGAUUUAAGCAGCGACAAUGCCCAAUAAUGUGUUGUUGGACCAACUACGGUCUUGAGAUACACCAGAACAGAAGAAAAAGUUCUCAAAAUUGUGGAAGAGCGAUAUAGUGGUUGGCGAUCAACUCUAAGCUCCACUUACAAGGCAUACAAAACAGAUGCAACUAGAUUGGCUAAUCUGCUGGAAGAUUUACAACCACAAGAGUAGGAAUGGAUGAUUGAGUACUUUGGCACUGAUUCAAAAUUUCAGGUUGUCUCUAAGAUCACUCUUUGUCUACUAUGUGUUAAGAUGAAAUUGCUUUUCUGUCUGGUUAUAUUUGGUUUCAAUGAAUUGAUAGGAACGCAGCCAAAAGAACACCGAUAGUCGUAAGAAACAGAAGACAAAACACAGAAUUGGAUCAAAAUCUUACUCGCAACUAAGUUUUGAGAAGAGAAACUUGGAAACUAGAGAAGAGCCAGAUUGUAUUGCUCUGUGGGAACUCACGCACACGAAGAAUGGAGCAUGGUCUAACACAGAGUCCCAGGAUGUUUACGAUCCAAAGAACUAGCUCGACUGGACUCUAGAUCAUGGACAAUUUAGUCUUGGCACUUAAUUAGGAUGGCUAAAUUACAUUUGAGUUUUGUUUGAUGGAUAUUUGCUAUAAGAAUUAUGAAUUUUAUGAAUCUACAUAUUAUAUGUAUGGUUUUGAAUAUUGUAAUUGAAUGCUUGUAUUUUUUUUAAGGUUACAAUAGGCUAUUGCCACAACCCACUUUUGGUUGCCACAUGUUAGCACCACAAAAAUUUAAAUUGUCGCAAUAGUUUAUCGCUACAAACAUUUCACCCAUUGUGAUACUUAUUUAUCACCGCCAAAGCUAGUAUGUUGCAAUUUCCUAUUACGACGACUGAAAUAUUUGUUGCCAUAACUUAAUGCCACAAGUGUAGCAUUCAUGGCAAAAUGCCUAAUGCCAUGAAAACAAGGAUUGUUGCCAUAGUUUAUUGCCACAAUUGACUAUUGCCACAGAAUAGUGUGCAGCACGA